GUGAAAUUUAUCCUUUUAUUUCUUUAUCGUAUUUGUAUAUAUAUAGACACAUACAUAUCUUUUGUUUCGGGAGGACAUGAUGUAUCCAAAAGGCUUAAGUUAUGGAGUCCCAUAUGAAGGCCUACGUGAUGAAGAUGAUGAAGUCCCAUACGUAUCACAGAAUGUCAAUUUGGUGCUCACUUUGGGAAGGCCACAUUGGGAUUGAAUACAAUAAAGAAAAAUUAGGUAUUAGACAUAAUGAUGAAUUAGGAUUUGAGACAGAGUAUUUUUGUUUGGGUUUUAAUAUCUAUGAAUGAAAUUUUGUUUUGAAUUAAGCUAAAGAGGAGGCCCAUAUGUGAAAUUUUUUUAUAUUUAUAUAAAAAAAACAAUUGACUGUUAAUAUAAAUAUUGCAUAACUGACAAAAUACCACAAAAAUAAGAUUGGUAAUGUGGUUGUGAACAACGCUUUCCUCCUUUGAGGGUCAAGGUUUAAGUCUUUUCAUGCACACUAAA
rnacentral:lncRNA from 1 species